rnacentral:lncRNA from 1 species
UCACAGAGACUUUGGAAGAACUGACAUUUUCAUUUGUUGUUUAAGUCACUACAGCAAAAGCGCUAAUUACCGACGGCCUUGUACCGAAGGCCUUAGAGCCGUCGGUAAAGCAUUGGUGAUUUUAAAUACCGAAGGGCCGUAGGCCGUCGGUAAGUUGCUCCAUGAAUUCAGAUAAAAAUUUCAGAUUUCCCUCUCGUCGAAUUACUUCGUCCCCGUGCUGUAAAAACCUAAUAGCGUUUUCUUCCCUCCAAAAGUUGAUUGUGGUUCUUCCCCGGCAAAGCUGCUCUCGAGUUUUUUGUCGGCGAAGGUCCAUUAGGGUCAUUGACGGGAAGGGUGUGGGCCAUUGACGGUGUGGUGAGGAUGGUGGUGUCCUGAGCAGAGGCGAUUGGUACUGUGGUUGGGCGAUUAGGGUUUCGGUUGGGGGAUUCCUGCACUUUCUUUGGCUGCCGUGGUGUAGGGAGGCCAUUGUGGAGGUAGGGUGUCGAGAAUCAUCCCUUUCGUGCAAGAGGUAACUGUUAUUUAUUUAAUCCUUGGUUGAGAUACUUGCAAGAUACCCAUGAUAUGACCACAUGAUUGGGAUAUUAAAAAUUUCAUUUCAUAAACAAAGUGGUGAAGAGAUUGAGGCAAAUAUGUCAUAGGGUUCUCGUGAGGUGAAUGAAAUGGUAGAUAUUUUUUAUUAAAAGGUGCUGAUAGAACUGAUAUUAGAAUUAGAAAGAAAGAGACGAUCUUGAAUUUUGUUGCCUCCCUAAUUCCAGUCCCAACAAUAGUAGUAAGGAUGGAGUCAAGGAAUAGAAAGAAUAGAGCAGUACACAAUAAAAUUACAGGUCAAUAGAGAGAACCUCACUUUCCAAAUAUCAUUCUAUUUUACUUCUCUCCAAAAAGUCCCUUCACUAACUCUUCUAGAACUAGUUAUAAUAGUUCAGAUACAGUCGUUCAGAUACCGCUGUAUUAACUACCUUAAAUUUCCUUCAUUUAUACACUUUAAUGAACCUACUUAAUCUUAGGAAAAUUGUUACUAAUUAUGCUUAACGCUCCUGAAAGUUCGGCAAUCAAGUACCAACAAGUCUUGUAAAGCUAAGAAUGUCGUAAUGAGGAAAUGGGGUUACAAGAAAAAAAAUAAGAUCAUGAAUAAAUGUUAAGAGAAAGUAGGAGCAUAAAGUCAUGAAAGAAAAACUUGGUAGAAUUGCAUUCAUAAUGGUUUGUUUUUGGAAUGUUGCGUUAAUUGCAUGCAGUCAUCCUUAGCC